UUUAUAUGUCCUCUUCAAAUGGAUAACAAGGAACUCGAUAGUUAGGCUGCGUUUGGUUUGGGUAUAAAUAAAAACUGCUUAUUUCAGGAAUAGAUACAAGUUUAGAUAUAAGGAGAAAUUAGAUUAAUUUUGUGUUUGGAUGAAAAUUGAAUUGUUCCUAAGAAUAAGAUAAAUAAUGUGUGGAUGAUUCAAUUGAAUAAAGAGAAUAAGAGCUAUAAUUUUAAAUUAAAAUUAUUUUAUCUAAUUAAUUAACAUCAAAAACUUAAUAAUAAUAAAUUAAUAUUAAUAAUUAUAAAUAAUAAUAAAUUAAAUAAUAAAUUACAAACAAUUAUAAAUAAUAAAUUAUUAAUAAUUAUAAAUUAUAAAUUAAUUAAUUAAUAAAAAGUUAAUAUUAUAAAUAAUAAUAAUUUAAUUAAUAAUUGUAAAUAAUAAAUUAAUAAUUUAUUUUAUUAUUUAAGCAAUAAAUAAUAAUUUAAAUAUAUCAAUUAAAUUAAUUAAUUAUUUAAUAUCAUAAUUAAAAUUAUUUUUAGAUUUUAAUUAAUCUUAUUCUUACCUGAGAAUUAGCUUGUUUCAAAAAAAAUGUGAAAGUACAACAGUUCCAGCCUUAUACCGGUUUAUUCCACAAAUCCGAAAACUACUAUUCUCAGAUACCAAACACAGCAUUUUGAAACAAAAGGCGGAACAAGAGUUUAUUCCCCCACUUAUUUCCGAACCAAACGCUACCUUAGAGUCUCAUAACUCCCACUUGUUCUUG
rnacentral:lncRNA from 1 species